ensembl:misc_RNA Metazoa_SRP Metazoan signal recognition particle RNA
GCUGGGCACGGUGGCUCACGCCUGUAAUCCUAGCACUUUGGGAGGCCGAGGUGGGUGGAUCGCCUGAGGUCAAGAGUUCAAGUCCAGCCUGGCCAUCAUAGUGAAACCCCAUCUUUUUUUUUUUUUUUUUUUUUAAAGAUGGGGUUUCACUAUGAUGGCCAGGCUGGACUUGAACUCUUGACCUCAGGCGAUCCACCCACCUCGG